rnacentral:rRNA from 1 species
UACGUAGGGGGCAAGCGUUGUCCGGAUUUAUUGGGCGUAAAGAGCGCUGUAGGCGGCCUGACAGGUCUGCUGUGAAAACUCGAGGCUCAACCUCGAGAUGUCGGCGGAAACCGUCUGGCUAGAGUCCGGAAGAGGAGAGUGGAAUUCCUGGUGUAGCGGUGAAAUGCGCAGAUAUCAGGAAGAACACCUGUGGCGAAGGCGGCUCUGCGGGACGUAC